UACGUAGGGGGCAAGCGUUGUCCGGAAUUAUUGGGCGUAAAGCGCGCGCAGGCGGUUUUUUAAGUCUGGUGUAUAAGCCCAGGGCUCAACCCUGGGAGGCACUGGAAACUGGAAGACUGGAGUACAGGAGAGGAAAGUGGAAUUCCACGUGUAGCGGUGAAAUGCGUAGAGAUGUGGAGGAACACCAGUGGCGAAGGCGACUUUCUGGCCUGAAACUGACGCUGAGGCGCGAAAGCGUGGGGAGCAAACAGG
rnacentral:rRNA from 1 species